CAUCCUUCCGAGAAUGGGGGCGACCAGAACAGUAUGAAACACUCCAGAUGUGAGCUAACAAGUUUUACAAAGCUGCAACACAACUUCAUGACUUUUGAACUCAGUGCUUCAACUAAUAAAGACAACCAUGCCAUUUGCCUUCUUAUCGACCCGAUCAAUCUGUGCAGUCUCUUUCAGGGAGUGAUGAACUUGGAGUCUAAGAUCCCUCUGACCAUCGACACUGCUCAGGGUUUUGCAUUUAACACUGUACUAUCUCAUACAUUCAGGGGUGCAGUGCUACCAGAGCUCACAGCAGCGCCGCUCUGACACCUCUGUAAAAAAGUCAAUAUAAACAAGUGCGGAAUUUAACAACCCCGCAUAUUAAAUAGAGCGAAUUUUACAGAAGCGGGGGUGUUGGCUGGUGGGGAGAAAUACCACUAAUAACAUUAGGAUAUUUGAUUGUUUUUGGUGAAAGCCUGGAGCUGUGACUGUUUUUUAUUUAGGUAUUUGUGAAAUUCCUUCUCGCUCGUCCCGUUGUCCAAUGAAGUUGGGAAAUACCUGUACACAAAUGCAAGCAUUUUUCCGCUCUUUCCAAUGGAUACCAUUGGAUUCCAGGAAGGAGCUAUAUUAAGCACGGAAUGAACAUCGAAACCCAUGUUUAAGAGUCGAAAAUAAUGAAAGAAAAAUACACAAGCUAAUCAUCCAAAAUCCUCUUCUACACCUGGAUAAAUUUAGUUUUGUUUUGGAAGCCAAAUGGAAAAAAAAUUCUAGGCUACAAGCUAGUUUUACGUCAUUUCAUAUCAUUAGUAGCUGAUUAACUCCUUGGCCUCGCUCCACCAACUGUAGUUGAUUGAAAAGAGGCUCUUUUUCUCUUUGUGUUGAUAGGAAAAAGAGUAACUUAGUGAGACAAUGAACGAGAUGAAAUGCAUUUCCAAACCUCCUAAAUGGUUGCUCUCCUCCCAUUAACAUUUGUCACUUCCAAAAUACAAUAUUUUCUAUUCGUUUAGUUGCGAUAAUAAUUUAUGUAAAGAUUCUAGCUUCUUUAACUUUUUAUAUAUUUAAACACUAAACAGGAUGUAUGAAGGUCGAACCAUGUAACACCAGACGUGUGAGGAUAUUUUGAGUAUCGACACUCACAGGUACACUUCAAUAUAUUGAGAAAGGGAUGGAGCAGUGGACCCAGAGUGAAGUGAUAAGCAGAACCACGAAACAAAGAAAACGUUAGUCGUUCAGAGAAAAAAAAAAUGAAACUCCCUCCCCACCCCCCGCAUCAAAAGGACGGCAUCCCGAUCAUCAACCCCCAAAACCCACCCCUCCCGCCCGCACAAAAGGGAAGAAAAAUAUCGACACCCGUUAAAAACGUUCCUUCCCGACACAACUGCAGAGGAGCCGGUGUCAACAGUGUAGAGGCGGCCGCAUCGGGAGCAGCGGACACAACGGGCGACCCCGGAAGAUUCAAAGGUGAAGUGUCGCCUCACCUGGAAGGAUGUUUGGACAACGGAAAGAGUUCGGCCGUCCGGCCCUGUCACUGUGACACCCCGAACUCCACAUCAAAUCCGUCCAAACGAAUCUGGGCGAACUUUAAUGACCAAUAAAUAUAAUUCCUCUCAGCGA